GACAGAGCCUCGAGCGUUAGGCGGAAUCACUGGGCUUAAAGCGUGUGUAGGCGGGCCCGUAAGUGUCUUGUGAAAUCCCACGGCUCAACCGUGGAACUGCUGGGCAUACUGCGGGUCUUGGGCCAACUAGGGGCAGCCGGGAACAAGCGGAUGGAGCGGUGAAAUGCGUAGAUAUCGCUUGGAACGCCGAAGGUGAAAACG
rnacentral:rRNA from 1 species